GAGUCUCUUGCCAUCGACAUCCAGCUGAGUGAUUUGUUUGUUGUGUUGGAGAUCCAAGCUUACACAGAGUGCCGUGGUGUUUUGCCUUGGAGUCGUGUUGGGUGACGUAGUGGAGAAGCUGGGUGAGUUGGCAUGGGGCCGUGUGCUAUGUAUGUGUGAUUUAAAACAAGCUACUUUGUGUGUGUAUAUAGCAGAUCAGAGACGACGGGACACUAGGCACUGACGAGUAAUGUUUUGUAUGUUUGUUUGAUUUGUAGGCAUCGUGUACGCCACUGUUUGUAUGCCGCAUUUUGCUUUGCACUGUUUGUAUGCCGCAUUUUGCUUUGUACUGUUUGUGUCUCGCAUAUUGUUUUGUACUGUUGGUGAGCCGACGUGUCUCUGAAUAGUUUAUUUAUGUAAAUUAAAGAUCGGAUGUUUCCUAUACUUAAACACAAGUCUUUGGCAAUCAAUUCAUAUCGACCUCACAAUACUGUGUCGCUGAAGACAACGCUCCAGAACGCGGCUUCACUCCACAAUCAGCAAUGGACGGCUACCGGCAUAAGGACCCAAGGUGUAUAUAUCUAUGUCUGUUGGCACUAAACUAAUUGGAACCCAGCCCAAGCCCCUACUAGUGACGUACACACAGGAGAAAGGUGACAGAGGUGAAUCAAAAUAAAAGUUCGCUACACCCAUUGGUCCCACCGGCUACAAGAAGAAGAAAAAGAAAAAAAAGAAGAAAAAGAAGAAACUUUGACAAGCACUACACAAGCGCCCUGCAUGACGCAUCAUGCCAUAAUAAGCGAAUACAAAGGUGCUGAUGUUUGUGUGCCUGAGAGUGUAGUCUGAGACGCAAGAUAUCAUAUAUGCUCACUGUGGAGUGAAUUCUGGUAUGUUUUAGUCAAGUGGGUGCCUGGCACAUAGACUUGGAUGGGUAGGCCUACAUUUCAGUUUUUUGGUGAUUGGAGAUUAUUGAGAGUUAUUCCACCACCAUCAACAGUUUCAAUGAUAUUCUUAUCUUUAGUACAUUAUUUGUAUUUAAUUUGAGUUCAGAGGAACUGUUAAUAUUGACCACACAUGUCAUGCCAAUAAACCUUUAACCUGUGAUUCAA